CGGACAACGCCACCCCCACGCUGCAUGGUAGGCUUCACAUGCCACCUACUCCAUGACUUUUGCUCCUAGCGUCAACACCCUUUGAUUUCCCUCCUUUUAUCUGCAAAAUUGCCCAAUCUGUUUGCCACUGACAUAUCAACCUGAUAAGCAUAAUUAGAACAUUUAUCAGCUUCUUUUUCCAAAAACAACAACCGUUUCUGCAUCUCAAUAUUGUCCAAAAGAUAGCAGCGACACCAAGUAACACCCGUUUUUUGGUUACAUCAUGUUGAUUUUUUUAAUCCAUCCACUAAAGCACAUAACUAGAUUAGCAGGAUGGAUCUCAAAUUUAAAGCAUAUUUAAGAAAAUCCCACACUAGUUUAUUUUGCUCUCAUCUUGACCAUAAAACACACAGUUUUUUGGGAUCUAUCCAGCCACUUUUCAAUAAAUAGUCUCUAGGUUAUGCUAUUUUGACCAUCAACCAAAGAAAGACUUUGAUUUUUGUUGGAAAUUUAUUGUUUCUUAAAAAAAUUGUGGCAAACCACAAUAUUGAACAACAAGGUGUCUAUAAAGUGAUUUGACUAUAAAAAGACCAUAUGCAAUUAACAGACACUUAAUAGCAUCCUUGUUGUGAGACAUCACAUUCCAUCAGAUCUCAUUUUGAGGCUAUCCCAAAGAGCUAGAGUAUCACCUCACAAAGUUCUUCUAAAUCUAAAACCCUCCCAACUUCUCUACAAGGCAUCAGCUGCAGUAAUAUAUAAUCAUAACUCAAAUUAUACAAUAUAGCAUAAGAGAUUUUAAGGGGUUUAUAAUCCACCGACAGUCUUCCCAAAAAUCUAGCAUUCUUGCCAUUACCCACUUUUUUUUAUAAUAUUGAUAGAAUGUGUAUUUAAUUUUCAUGAUACAAGACCAAAAAUGGGAGUCCCCAGUCUUAGGUUUAGUUCCAAAAAGGCAAGCAUUCCAAACAUGCUUGUUCAGGAGAAACAUUUGUCAAAUACCAUUUUUAGUUUCUACCAUAACUAUUUAGCAGACAAGUUUUGUUCAUGAGUUCAAGAUAUAAAAUCCCUAAAUCCCCUUAAUCUUUAGGUCUAAAUCAGGUUUUCCAGUUUAGCAAGUGUUAUUUUUCCUUAUUGUCAUUUCCCUGCCAAACAAACAUAGCCAUGAAGAAAUUGGAUCUUUUCUUCACAUCAACUGGGAUGGGGUAGAAAAACAUCAUACAUAAGUUUAAUCUCCCCCUCUAUUGUUAAAUCUUCUCUCGUAGUGAUAGUUGUUAAAUCUCCCCCCUUUUGUUGAGACUACCUUGCAUGCCUGCACCACCAUAAGACCAAGCCAUCCCUUCUUGUUCACCAGGUGGCGGCGGCGGAGCAGUAAAGCCUUACCACAUAUCACUUUCAUGCACACCAAAUUCUUUUAAGGGGCGGACCAAAGCAUCUAUAUACCCAAAGGUAGCAGAAGGCGCAUUCUCCUUAAGGGCUUUCCUAUCCCACCAACCUGGACCUCCUAGAUCAAAAACAUCCAGUCCAACCGCCCCCUACUACAGAAGAUUCUAUGGGUAAAGGCCAAAACCCUAAAACUCACCCCCUCCUUGCUCAAUAUUUAUCAUCACAACAUCAAUGUAAUAUAAGAAAUUCACCCCAAAAACAAGCACAUCCUUUGUACAAUUGGCAAGGAUAGCUGGAAAAUUACCAAUUCUUGUAGCCUUUUUGACUAGAUUUCCACCAGUAACAUCUAAAUUCCAUUUAAUCACUAUAUCAUCACAAAUUUUGAUAUUGUGGGUAUCAACAUCGGAAAGAUCCAAGGACAAAUAAUUCUCAUAACAGUAUUAUAUUCAAAAUCAUUGACAUGAUCAACUUCCAUCAAAAAAUCCACCGAAGACUUUUCGGAGGAUGCAACUAAGAUCUCCUAACCAUAUUUCUCACAACUAAAAUCCCCCCACUGUUAGUUUGUACAUGAGGAUGUAAAUAUUUGUAGAGAUCAAAAAUCUUACUGGAAAAUGAAGCAACAAAAUGAUCGUAGGAGUCCUCGACUCCUCCCCGGCAGCAGCCAUAAUUGACUGCCUGCCAGGAAGACGCCUACUCGCCGGCGGCGCUCUGUGCAAGCGCCAGGAUCCACACAGAUGCCCGGGGAACCAAGGGGAGUGACGAGGUAGCUGUGAAACCAUCUACGCCACAUUUUGCCUCGGCACCACCCGCACAUUGUCGUCGGUCACGACGAGCAUCACCGGACAGCGUGGCGGCGACCUAGUCAUCGUGGUCACCACACACACACACACCAUCCCAGACUGGAUUGGACGAAAUCCAGUCGUACGAAGCGUAGCGAUACCACCGCGUGCGCCGCACCGGAUCAUUGGAUUCUGCCUCGAUCAUUGCCCAAUAGAGGAUCUCGAGCGGGGCCUUCCCUUAGAUCCAACUUUGCUCCUCCUUCGAGGCAUCUUCAACCAACCGAUGUGAUUCCUGAUGCAUCUCCUCCGCAUCCCUAUACUGCCCACAGAUCUCGCGGUGCCUCGCCAUCUUCGCCUCGUCACUGCUCGUGAUUGCCGCUGCCAUGUGCUCCCUCCACGCCAAAGGCCCUUUGAACCGAGAUCUAAGACGGUGGUUGGAGGGGGAGAAGCAGGGGAUCACCGACACCCUCGUGCCUCGCGUGUAGAUUUAAUGCUUGCCAAAGUCGUAGGUAUUCAUUGCCCACAUCAGGGGUUCCUCGACAUCAGUGUGGGAUCAACGCCGUUGUUUUUUUGGAAAUUAUUAUAUUCUGGAUCUUGAGAAAUCAUCUAUUAGGGGCCAUCCUAUCAAGAUCCCAGUGCCCAAGUUAUACUCCACUAAAACUUGAAUUGGCAUCUGUCCAUCCACGGAACAAGCACAAGUCCAACAAGAUUACACCAAACGUGACGCUGUAUCACUUUCAGUUUCACACAAACGCUGUCGUGGGGAAGCGAAGAAAUUGUUGGUAAAAUGAGGCAAGGACACUGUGGUAAAGGAUGUCCGGUCCAGGUCUUGUCCGCCGCCCGCCGCACCGGAAACGCACCAUCCAGCACCCAACGUGUGCCCUAGCCGCCGAACGGGUCAGACCAACAGUCACCUUACAAGCCGACCCCACUCGUAGCCACACACAGCAUGCCCUUAUUAACCCCGUGCACACCAGAACCAAUUCGAUCAUCUCCUCAUCGUCAACCUCGCCGCGUACCUCCCUCCACUCAGUGUAAUAAAAAGUUAAAACCCAUCCCUCUAGACAUUUCCCCAGUCCAUCCACCGGCGCCACCGCAUUGAGCCCUGGCCACGCAUGGAGCUAUCCGUGCACACCAAGCAAAUUCUCCUUCCAGUUUGUACCUUUAUGACAGCAACUAACCUCUUUUCGUCGAGCUUUUCACUACUGAAGUUCUCUAUUUAUAACCUGAAUUAUGAGUAGACUUUCCACCACCAUCACCAUGACCAUGCUUAUAUAAACCACAAUGGCAGAUGUAGAGAAGGAUGGAUGGAUGGUCAGGUGCCUAGCUAUAUGCAUAAGUGCUCGCAGCGAGUCCGCUACGCAGGAGGACAGUGGUAUUGAGGGAGUCCUGUAUUCGGGGGUCCUCAGGUGUCCGGCCUAUUCGAUAUGGGCCGGGCUGAUGGGUCAUGAAGACGAAGCAGAAGACUGCCUCCCGUGUCCGUGUAGGACUCCUAUGUGCGUAGAACGGCAAGUUUGGUGUCCGGAUGUAAUACUCUUUGCCUCUGAACCGACUUUGUAUAACCCUAAGUCCCUUCGGUGUGUAUAUAAACCAGAGGAGUUUGUCCGCAGAGGGCAUCAGAAUAAUCAUAGGCUAUAUAGCUACGGUUUGGCCAUUACGAUCUUGAGGUAGAUCAACUCUUGUAACCCCUAUACUCAUCGAAUACAAUCAAGCAGGACGUAGAGUUUUACCUCCUUUGAGAGGGCCCGAACCUGGGUAAACACCAUGUCCCAUUGUCGCUUGUUACCAUUGAUCCUUAGACUCGCACCUUGGGCCCCCUUACCCGAGAUCUGCCGGUUUUGACACCGACAAUGGUGCUUUCAUUGAGAGCUCUGCUGUUUAAUGCCGCUCAUGACGAUACCAUUUGCCCGCUCUACCUGGCCGUUUGUUUGGGGAUGGUAGACGGAAGCGUAAUCAAGCUAAUACCCAUUUUUGUGCACCAAGUUUUCACUUCGUCGGCUGUGAAAUUUGAGCCAUUAUCAGUGAUGAUGCUGUGGGGGACACCGUAUCGGUGUAUGACCCCGGAUAUGAAGUCUAUUACUGGUCCGGAUUCGGCCGUUUUGACUGGUUUGGCUUCUAUCCAUUUGGUGAAUUUGUCCACCAUGACCAAUAAGUAUUUUUUUCUUAUGGCUUCCCCUUUUAAGAGGCCCGACCAUAUCCAGCCCCUAGACCGCAAAGGGCCAAGUUAUGGGAUUGUUUGGAGAGCGGUAGGGGGCAUAUGACUCUGACUAGCAAAGAGCUGGCAACCAAUGCAAUGUUGGACAAGGUCCUGUGCGUUUGGUCGGGUCGUCGGCCAGUAGAAAUCUAUACGGAAGGCCUUGCUGACUAAUGCUCGAGCUGCGGCGUGGUGCCCGCCCAGUCCGACAUGGAUUUCAGCCAAGAGCUGCCGCCCUUCCUCUUUGGAGAUGCAUCUUUGGAGUACUCCGGUAGCGCUUUUCUUGUAGAGUUCCCCUUCAUAUACUUUGUAGGCUUUAGAGCGCCGGACGAUGCAACGUGCUUCAUUUUGGUCUUCGGGGAGCUCCUGCCUAUUUAGGUAGGCCAAGAAAGGCUCGGUCCACGGGGCGAUUACAACCAUGAUUUCAUGGGCCGAGGACGUUAUUUCGGUGGUAGAACCUCCGACUAUGUCUGAUAGUUUGGAAUCUGGGGGUGUAUCCGGAUCCGUGCUAGUGUUGCCGGACUCCCCUUCCCAUACGACGGAUGGCUUGAACAGCCGUUCCAAGAAAAUGUUCGGUGGGACAGGGUCGCGUUUAGCGCCGAUGCGAGCGAGGACGUCCGCCGCUUGAUUGUUUUCUCGAGCCACAUGGUGGAAUUCAAGCCCCUCGAACCGAGCUGACAUCUUGAGGACGGCAUUACGGUAGGCCGCCAUUUUCGGGUCCUUGGCAUCAAAAUCUCCAUUUAUUUGUGAUAUUGCGAGGUUUGAAUCCCCGCGCACUUCUAGGCAUUGAAUGCCCAUAGAGACUGCCAUCCGGAGACCGUGCAACAGAGCCUCAUAUUCGGCUGCAUUGUUCGAGUCCGUGUAUAAUAUUUGGAGGACGUACUGGACCGUGUCUUCGGUGGGAGACGUCAGGACUACACCUGCUCCCAAUCUGGCCAGCAUUUUAGAGGCGUCGAAGUGCAUGAUCCAGUUUGAGUAUGCGUUGUACUCUUUAGGGAGUUCGGCUUCUGUCCAUUCGGCAACGAAGUCAGCCAGUACUUGCGACUUGAUGGCCCGUCGUGGUUUGUAUGUUAUGUCGAACGGAAGGAGCUCAAUGGCCCAUUUUGCAAUCUGGCCCGUAGCAUUGCGGUUAUUUAUUAUGUCAUUGAGCGGUACUUCGGAGGCCACCAUAAUCGAACACUCUUGAAAGUAGUGUCGUAGCUUCCGGGAUGCCAUGAAAACCGCGUAUGUUAUUUUUUGAUAGUGUGGGUAUCGGGAUUUGCAUGGGGUUAGGACCGUGGAUACGUAGUAAACCGGCUUCUGGAGCGGGUAUUUGUAUCCGUCAGCCUCUCGUUCAACGACGAGCACUGCGCUUACAACUUGAUGCGUUGCAGCUAUGUAUAGCAGCAUAGGUUCGUCGAUAUUCGGCGCUGUUAGUACUGGAUUACUGUCCAAUAAGGUCUUUAUUUCAUCCAGUCCGGCCGCGGAUGCAUCCGUCCACACGAAGUGUUCGGUGCGCCGAAGAAGGCGGUAAAGAGGUAAUGCCUUUUCUCCUAACCUGGAGAUAAAGCGGCUUAGAGCAGCCACGCAUCCGGCUAGUUUCUGGAUGUGCUUGAGGUCUGUUGGUAUAGCCAACUGUGACAGAGCUCGGAUUUUCUGGAUUCGUUUCAAUUCCUCUAUUGGAAACGAUGAAGCCGAGUAGUUUCCCCGUGGGGACGCCAAAAACGCAUUUUUUUGGGUUCAGCUUGAUGUCGUAUGUCCGGAGAUUGUUGAAUGUAAGCCUCAAGUCAUCUAUUAGGGUUUCGACGUGCCUUGUUUUUAUGACCACGUCAUCCAUGUAUGCCUCCACUGUUUUGCCGAUUUACUUUUCCAGGCAUGUUUGAAUCAUGUGUUGGUAGGUUGCACCGGCGUUCUUGAGCUCGAAAGGCAUCGUGUUAAAGCAAAAAGGGCCAUAUGGCGUUAUGAAAGUUGUUGCAGCUUGGUCAGACUCUGCCAUCUUUAUUUGAUGGUAUCUAGAGUAUGCGUCGAGGAAACACAGUGAGUCGUGUCCCGCUGUGGCAUCAAUGAUUUGAUCAAUGCGAGGGAGGGGAAAGGGAUCCUUGGGGCAAGCCUUGUUGAGGUCUUUAAAGUCGACACAUAGGCGCCAGGAUUUGUCCUUCUUUGGUACAAUUACCAGGUUUGCCAGCCAAUCCGGAUGCUUGCUAUCUCUGAUGAAUCUGGCCUCGGGUAGUUUGGCUAGUUCUUCCCCCAUGGCCUACCGUUUGGGCUCUGAAAACCGUCUUAGAGUCUGCUUGACCGGUUUGUAUCGUUUUAGUAUAUUGAGGCUGUGUUCGGCCAAUCUGCGUGGGAUGCCUGGCAUGUCCGAUGGGUGCCAGGCGAAGAUGUCCCAAUUCUCGCGUAAGAAGUCUCGCAGUGCGGCGUCCAUCGCGGGGCUCAGUUGUGUCCCAACGGAAGCUGUCUUCGUGGGGUCCGUUGGAUGGACUUGGAAUUUGACUAUCUCGUCUGCGGGUUUAAAUGAGGUCGACUUGGGUCGCUUGUCGAGUAUCACGUCGUCCCUGUCCAUGGUGGCCCGCAGUCUUGUUAAUUCUUCGGCUGCUAGGGCCUCGGAUAAUGCCUCCAGGGCUAUUGCUGCGGUUUUGUUUUCGGCGUGAAGUGCGACGUCCGGAUCACUGGCUAGAGUGAUGAUUCCAUUGGGCUCGGGCAUUUUAAGCUUCAUACCCGUAAUGGGGUAUAGCUUGAAAGCUUGUAAGCGCGUCCCGCCCUAAAAGGGCGUGGUAUCCGCCGCUAAAAGCGGCCACUUGGAAUGUGAUUUCUUCUGACCUAUAAUUAUCCGGGGUGCCGAAUACCACGUCAAGUGUGAUUUUUCCCGCACACCGUGCUUCCCGACUAGGGAUAAUUCCCCUGAAGGUUGUGCCGCUUUUUUCAAUGUGGCCUUUGUCAAUUUCCAUCUUGCUGAGUGUCUCUUCAUAGAUCAGAAUCAACCCGCUUCCGCCAUCCAUGAGCACUUUAGUGAGCCGAAAGCCGUCCACGAUUGGGCUAAGAACCAGAGCGCCUGGUGCACGGACAGUCCGGAAUCUAGGUUCGUCACUGGCGUUGUAAGUUAUAGCAGUGUCGUUCCAGGGGUUCAUUUUGGCCGUAUGGCAAAUUUCCAUGGAGCUUUGAUGAGCUUGCUUGCGCCUACUGUUUGAGGCAAAAGUCUCGGAGACUGUUAGUACCGUAUUGUGCUCAUUGGCGGGAUGUUGUUCUGUAAGAAGAUCCUCGCCACUUUUCGCAACCUGCCGGAGUAUCCAACAUGCCCUAAGGCUAUGAGUUGGUGUUGUGUCCGGAGUGCUGUGGAGUUUACAUGGCCCAUUGAGCCAUUUUUCCAAUACGGUUCCCCGCCCUGGGGUGGGCUUUGGUUUCUUGGGGAUUGGAUCGGACGACGUACGAGAGUUCGCCUGUUUAGUUCGGAAAAAGGUUUUGGUGAAAGCCAGAUUGUCCCAAAAUUCAGUUUGAGUUUUCCAGACGCUUUCCAUCGCACAGUACUUCUGUACUAUGAUUGCUAAGUCCGCAAAGCGUACUAUGUCACAGCGAUUUAUAGCAUUAAGGAUUCCUUUGUCCGUGCAGUUUUUGCAGAAGAGCGAGACUACGUCCUCCUCAUGGCAGUCCUCGACCUUGUUUAGCGCAAGGAGGAAUCUGGCCGAGUAAUGAUGUACUGUCUCCUGGGGCUCUUGCCCGCAGUGUGGUUAUAGCUGAAUCCGGAUUCUGAUCCGAUCUAGCACCCCGGGGCAUGGAAGCUUCCGAGUUCAACAGCUCGGGACUCAGGACGCUGCCCAAUUUUUCUAGCCCCGUGCCCGGUUCUAAGUCCAGGACCCGGGUCAUAUCCUCCCCCGGGCGAGUGUCCGGCUCUGGGACUCGGUGAUCCGGACAUAAUUCGUCCUCAAAAUAGAGGGAUACUCCUUGUGUGGUUCCUCCGAUACCACUAUCUCAUGGGUGGCCGGCGGGGAUUUAAUGUCCCUUUGCUCGGGUUUAAGCCCGAUCCGGUCAUUGUCCAUUACGACUCCCAAAGCGGCGAUGCAAUCCAAGAGCUCAUUAAGAGAAGAGAGCUCUAUCAGAUCCAUAUGUUCGGCGAGUUCCGAAUUGAUGUGAAGUUUAUGCGUGAUGACCCGAGAGGCCAUCGUCGGCACGACAUCCGAUGGGGUGGCCAUGACGAAGCCGCCUAGUUGGAGAGUUUGGCCUACAACCAGAGCUCCCCCCGCGGUAAUGUUGUCCCUCACAAUGAGACGAGUCAUCGAGCCUUGCAGGGACGACACAGAGGAACUCUCAAUGAAAGCAUGAAUGUCGGUGUCAAAACCGGUGGAUCUCGGGUAGGGGGUCCCGAUCUGUGCAUCAAGGCUGAUGGUAACAGGAAGCAAGGGACACAAAUGUUUACCCAGGUUCGGGCCCUCUCGAUGGAGGUAAAACCCUACUUCCUGCUUGAUUAAUAUUGAAGAUAUGGGUAGUACAAGAGUAGAUCUACCACGAGAUCUUAGAGGCUAAACCCUAGAAGCUAGCCUAUGAUGGUAUGAUUGUAAUCGUGAUCAGCCUUCUAAGGACCAACCUCUCCAGUUUAUAUAGACACCAGAGAGGGCUAGGGUUUACAUGGAGUCAAUUACAAGGAAGGAAAUAUAAUAUCCGGAUCGCCAAGCUUGCCUUCCACGCCAAGGAAAGUCCCAUCCGGACACGGGUCGAAGUCUUGAGUCUUGUAUCUUCACGCUUCAAUAGUCUGGACGAUGUAUACAGUCCGGCUGUCCGGAUACCCCCUAAUCCAGGACUCCCUCAGUGGGCCUUUAGCUGGGCCAGCCCAUUAUGGUCCGCAAAAUCUUGUGAGCCUUUAGCUGGGCCGGCCCAUUAUGGUCCACAAAACUUGUGGUCCUUUAAUUGGGCCGGCCCAAUUAAACUUGUUGGGUCAUGCCACGUGUCGACGUAUCAUACGCUUUCUGUCCAAUGAGUGGAUGACAUCUGUCCCAGCGGUGAGCCGACACGUGUUUCCUCGAGCCAAUGAUGAUUUUACAUGUGGAAAAUCCCCAUUGGUCGGGGUUGUUAACGGGUUAUCGGAUCCAAAACCCGACCCGGUAGCUUAAGGGUGUUCCGUUAUGGUGGAUGCCACAUGUCGGUCACCCUUGACGAAAGCACUUCUUUGACGCACGAUUUAUCGUCAUGGAAGUGGACACUUCCGUGAUGAUAAUUUUCGUAAUGUCAUGGAACACUUCUACGACAACACAGGUAUGACUAUCUUGAUUCUGUCAUAACUUUGUCAUGGAUGUACAUGCAUGACAAAAAACGCGACCUACUGUGACAAACACGUAUCAUCACGGAAGUGUAUUUUUUUGUAGUGUAUGUUGUCUCAACAUAGCCGGUCCCAAGCCCGGGUAAAGGAGGAGGGUUAUUUGCUCCUUUUCUAGCCCAGAAUUCUAGCUGCCGGCAUUCUCCCUCCUUAUGUAAAGCUUGUAAAAUAAGAGAGAAUAGACAUAAGUAUUGUGACAUAACGUGUAAUAACAGCCCAUAAUGCAAUAAAUAUCGACAUAAAAGCAUGAUGCAAAAUGGACAUAUAAGUGUUUUCUCCUCUCUAUCUUGUUGUGAUGAAUUGAGUAUUUCCCUUUGAGAUUUCGUUGUUAUCGGAUUGAAUACUUUUAUGGAUUUGAGAACACUUGAUAUAUGUCUUGCAAUUGAAUACUCAUGGUGACAAAUAGGGUAUCGUAUUGAUUCACAUGAUAUAUGUUUUGGCACUCAACUCGCGCAAUACCGAGGUGACCUUGGGGUAAUCUAUGCAUAAGGGUUGAUGCACGUUCUUGUCUUUGUUUCUUCGGUAGAAAUCUUGGGGCACUCUUUGAAGUUCUUUGUGUUAGAUUGAAUAUUAUGAAUAUGGAUUUGCUUUUGUGUUAUUUUAGUACGAACUCUAGGAUAGAUCGAACGGAAAGAAUAGCUUUGUGUUAUUUUAUUACGAACUCUUGAAUAGAUUGAACGGAAAGGAUAGCUUUGAGGUGGUUUCGUGCCCUACAAACAAUUUAUUCUUAUGUUCUCCGCUAGAUAGGAACUUUGGAUUGAUUCUCUGUCGCACUUUGAGGGGUGGUUAUAUGAUCCAAUUAUAUUAGCAUUGUUGAGAGAUUGCAAUAGCGAAACUACGGACCCUAGGCCUCAUUUUCAAGCAUUGCAAUACUGUUUUUGUGCCCGUUUACUAUUUGCUACCUUGCUGUUUUUAUUUAUUCAGAUUAUAAAAAUAUAUUUCUACCAUCCAUAUUACACUUUUAUCACCAUCUCUUCGCCGAACUAGUGCACCUAUACAAUUUGCCAUUGUAUUGGGUGUGUUGGGGACACACGAGAUUUCCUGUAUUUGCUUGCGGGGUCAUUUGAGAGAGACCAUGUUCAUUGUACACCUCUCACGGAUUGAUAAACCUUAAGUCAUCCACUUGAGGGAAAAUUGCUACUGUCCUACAAAACUCUGCGCUUGGAGGCCCAACACGUGUCUACAAGAAUAAAGUUGCGUAGUAGACAUCAAGCUCUUUUCUGGCGCCGUUGUCGGGGAGGUGAGUGCUUGAAGGUAUAUCUUUAGAUCUUGCAAUUGAAUCUUUUAGUUUCUUGUUUUAUCACUAGUUUUUUUUUAUAAAAAUAAAACUACAAAAAAUGGAAUUGAGGAAAAUUGUGCUCCACUGUUAGAAGAAGAAUUCUAUAAAAUGUUUGAAAAAAAAUCUUUGAAUGAUGAGCAUGAUUGCAAUGUUGUUGGUAUGAACUCUUUGAAUAUCCAUGAUGCUAGUGAUAUGCAAAGCCAUAAGCUUGGGGAUGCUAUGUUUGAUGAAGAUGAUAUUUUUAGUCCCUGAAGAUUUGAUGUGCAAAUUUGUUAUAAUGAUUGCACGCCUCCUAUUUAUUAUGAUUAUAUUGAUGAAAGUGGGUUUGGAAGAGUGUCAACUUUAGAUAGUGAUCCCACUAUUUGGACGGUGUUGAAUCUUAUUGUUAUAAUGAUAAAAGUGGAUUUGGAGAGGUCAUGACUUUAUUUAGUGAUGAAUCCACUAUUUCGGAAGAGGUUCCAAUUGAUUAUGAGAACAAAAUUGCUACAUAUGAUGAUUAUGGUGAUGACAUGUAUGCUAUAAAGAAUAAUGAUAACCAUGAAACUUGUCAUCAUGAUUUUAAUUUUCAAUCUCAUGAUAGUUAUUUUGUUGAGUUUGCUCCCACUACUAUUGAUGAGAAGAAAUUUUGUUAUGUGGAGAGUAAUGAGUUUUCUAUGCUUUUGUGUCAUGGAAAGAAUGCUUUAUGUGAUAGUUAUAUUGUUGAUUUUCUUCAUGAUGCAACUGAAAAUUUUUAUGAGGGAGGAACUUAUGCUUGUAGGAAUUGCAAUAAUAUCAAGUUUCCUCUCUAUGUGUUGAAAGUUUUGAAGUUAUGCUUGUUUUGCCUUCCUAUGCUAGUUGAUUAUUGUUCCCAUAAGUUGUUUGCUCACAAAAUCCUAUGCAUAGGAAGUGGGUUAGACUUAAAUGUGCUAGUCAUAUGCUUCAUGACGCUCUCUUUGUGUUUCAAUUCUUUACUUUUAUGCGAGCAUCAUUGAAAUCAUCAUGCCUAGCUAAAAGGCAUUAAAGAAAAGCGCUUGUUGGGAGACAACCCAAAACUUUUACCUAUUGUUUUUGUGUGUUCACAUGAUUAGGCAAUUGUAGUAAUCAUGUUUUAUUGCAUUCGUUUCAAUAAAGUGCCAAGUAAGACCUUUGGGAUCAUGUUGGGUGAUAGUAGAUUUGAUCUUGCUGAAAAACAGAAACUUUGGUGCUCACGAAAAUAAGUCUCAUUUUUAAUAGAAGAGUGAUUUUGAGUUGAUUCUUUUUGCAGAAGUUUAAUUUACAAAUUGCUCACGUGGUCAUAAUUUUUUGAGUAGCAUAAGUAUGGUAGUUAUCCAGAUCAUUACAGUCUGUUCUGUUUUUGACAGAUUCUAUUUUCAAUGCAUAGUUUGCUUGUUUUCUAGUUUCUGUGGCUUAUAUUACUCAAUAUAAAUUGUGGAAAUGAUGAGGUACAGUAGGCAUUGUGUGGAAAAAAAUAUGAAUCUUAUCUUUGGUAGUACCAAAGUGAAAUGGUUUGCUCUUUAUCAUACUAACCUAUCUCACGAAUUUUUGUUAAGUUUUGUGUGAUUGAAGUUUUCAUGUUUUGGGUGAGAUAUCGAUAUGAGGAGCAUAAGGAGUGACAAGACCCCAAGAUUGGGGAUGCCCAAGGCACCCCAAGUUAAUAUCCAAGGAAGAUCCAAGCAACUAAACUUGGGGAUGCCCCGGAAGGCAUCCCCUCUUUCGUCUCCAACAUUAUCGGUAACCUCACUUGGAGCUAUGUUUUCUUCGUCACAUGAUUUGUGUUUUGCUUGGAGCAUCAUUUUAUUUUGUUAGGAUGUGCUUGAUGUUAUUUAUAAUAAUGUUUUGCAUCUUUUAUUUCAAUAAAAGUGGCAAUGAUAGCCUUUGCCAUGCUUAUUUUGCAAGUAUACAUGUUGCUGUUUGAAAACAGAAAGUUUACCGUUGUUGCAAAAAUUCCCUAGAUAAGUCAGAAUGUGAUAAAAUGUUGAAACUUUUUCAAUGAUAAGCUAGGAUAAAUUCUCUACAGUGUGGUAGAAUUCCAUAAUGUUUGGAGGUGAAUAAGUAUUGAUACUCUUGCAUUUUUUACAGACUGUAUUGUUUUGGCAGAUUGCUGUUAUGUUUGAAUUGUUUGCAUAUGUUUGCUUAUUUAAUGAUCCUAUUUGUGGAUAUGAGUAUUAAAUAUGCAGAGGCAUUUAGUAUGCAAUGUUGAAUAAUAAUUUUAGUGAUUUGCUACAGUAGAUAAUGAUAAGGUUUUUGCAUUGGUUUAUACUAACUUAUCUCACGAGUUCUUGUUGAGUUUUGUGUGGAUGAAGCUUUUGAGAUUUAGGAAAACCGUGAUAUGAGAGGAAUUAAGGAGACAUAAAAGCUCAAGCUUGGGGAUGCCCAAGGCAUCCGAAGAUAAUAUUUGUAUAAGUCUCAAGCAUCUAAACUUGGGGAUGCCCCGGUAGGCAUCCCACCUUUUUUCUUCAACAAUUAUCGGUUAGUAUCGGUUGAGCCUAAGUUUUUGCUUCUUCACAUGAGUUGUGCUAUUCUUGGAACGUCAUUUUAUUUUUGUUUUUCUUGUUGUUUUACUAAAAUACUUAGAUCUGAAAGUUUUAAAUAAGAGAGAGUCCAGACAUAGCUAUCUAUUUACUUAACUACUCAUUUGAUCUUCACUUAUAUCUUUUUGGAGUAGCUUGUCAUUUACUCUUGUGCUUCACUUAUAUCCUAUGAGUAAAUUGUUGAAUGAAUUGAAUAUCACGAAGUUGAAAUUAUAUCAUGCCUAGUGGUAGCUUCACAUUGGGUUUAGAAAGUGAAAUCUUUUGAGGCUUGACAAUCACAAUAUUGGUCAUACAAGAAUUCACGAAUAAUUAGUAUAAGGAAGAGAACUUUCACAUGCAAAUACAUUAUCAUGGAAAUCUUUUGUGAUUGUGAGCCCCCAUCAAAAUAUUAUAUGCCAAAAUUAUUGUCAUUGGACAAGGAAGACAAUGUAGUGAUUUAUGUUUGCUCAUAUUCACAUAGAAGUUAUAUUGUCAUAUAGCCUUCAACAUGUGGUGCUUGUCCCCAUCUUUGCUAGCCAAAAAUUUCGCACCAAGUAGAGAUACUACUUGUGCAUCCAAAAACCCUUAAACCCAAAUCUUAUUUUCAAGAGUCCACCAUACCUACCUAAGGAUUGAGUCAGAUCCUUCAAUUAAGUUGUCAUCGGUGCAUUAAGGCAAUAAAAAUUGCUUCUACAAAGUGAGAUCAUUUAGUGUAAGAGAAAAUUGAGCCUUGUACGAACUUGGAUGGCAAAGAAUAAAAUCGACAGACUGCAUAAUAAAGGUUGCCAUCUGAAGGGGCAAUACAACGUGACGUUCUUUUGCACUAAGGGAUUGAGCAUACAAAAAAAUAAGCGCAUGGCAACCUCUGCUUCCCUCUGCGAAGGGCCUAUCUUUUACUUUUAUGCAAGAGUCAAAGUUUUUCUCUCUAUUCCUUUUUUAUUUUCUCUUUUGGCAAGCAUCAUGUGGUGAGGAAAGAUCUAGGCACACAUGUCCAGUUGAAUAUGAGUAGCAUGAGUUAUUAUUGUUGACAUCACCCUUGAGGUGAAUACGUUGGGAGGCAAAACUCUAAGCCCCUAUCUUUCUAUGUGUCCGGUUGAAACGUUUUGCUCAUGUGUAUGCGGUGAGUGUUAGCAGUCAUAGAAGACUAUAUGAUGGUUGAGUAUGUGGAGCUCUUACUUACUCUGUUGAAUAAGUUGAAUUGCAAUUGCUUGGUGACUACGAACAUAGGUUGUUGAGUUUCAAGAGAGUUCAUUGUUUGGACCUUAACAUGUGAAUUGGUUGCUACUAUUGUUGGGGAACAUAGUAAUUUCAAAAAAUUCCUACGCACACGCAAGAUCAUGGUGAUGCAUAACAACGAGAGGGGAGAGUGUGUCCACGUACCCUCGUAGACCGAAAGCGGAAGCGUUAGCACAACGCGGUUGAUGUAGUCGUACGUCUUCACGGCCCGACCGAUCAAGCACCGAAACUACGGCACCUCCGAGUUGUAGCACACGUUCAGCUCGAUGACGUCCCUCGAACUCCGAUCCAGCCGAGUGUCGAGGGAGAGUUCUAUCAGCACAACGGCGUGGUGACGAUCUUGAUGUUCUACCGUCGCAGGGCUUCACCUAAGCACCGCUACGAUAUUAUCGAGGUGGACUAUGGUGGAGGGGGGCACCGCACACAACUAAGAGAUCCAAGGGAUCAAUUGUUGUUGUGUCUUUGGGGUGCCCCCUGCCCCCGUAUAUAAAGGAGCAAGGGAGGAGGAGGCCGGCCCUAGGAGGGGGCGCGCCAAGGGGAGUCCUACUCCCACCGGGAGUAGGACUCCCUCCUUCCUUGUUGGAGUAGGAGAAGGGGAAAGAGGGGGAGAGGAAGAAGGAAAAGGGGGCUGCGCCCCUUGUCCAAUUCGGACCAGAGGGAGGACGCAGGCCACCUUCCUUUUGGCCUCUCUGCUCUAUUCCCGUAUGGCCCAAUAAGGCCCAUAUACUCCCCGGCGAAUUCCCAUAACUCUCCGGUACUCCGAAAAAUACCCGAAUCACUCGGAACCUUUCCGAAGUCCGAAUAUAGUCGUCCAAUAUAUCGAUCUUUACGUAUCAACCAUUUCGGACUCCUCGUCAUGUCCCCGAUCUCAUCCGGGACUCUGAACUCCUUCGGUACAUAAAAACUCAUAAACUCAUAAUAUAACUGUCAUCAAAACCUUAAGCGUGCGGACCCUACGGGUUCGAGAACUAUGUAGACAUGACCGAGACACAUCUCCGGUCAAUAACCAAUAGCGGAACCUAGAUGCUCAUAUUGGCUCCCACAUAUUCUACGAAGAUCUUUAUCGGUCAAACCGCAUAACAACAUACGUUGUUCCCUUUGUCAUCGGUAUGUUACUUGUCCGAGAUUCGAUCGUCGAUAUCCAAUACCUAGUUCAAUCUCAUUACCGGCAAGUCUCUUUACUCGUUACGUAAUGCAUCAUUCCGUAACUAACUCAUUAGCUACAUUGCUUGCAAGGCUUAUAGUGAUGUGCAUUACCGAGAGGGGCCAGAGAUACCUCUCCGACAAUCGGAGUGACAAAACCUAAUCUUGAAAUACGCCAACCCAACAUGUACCUUCGGAGACACCUGUAGAUCUCCUUUAUAAUCACCCAGUUACGUUGUGAUGUUUGGUAGCACACAAAGUGUUCCUCCGAUAAACGGGAGUUGCAUAAUCUCAUAGUUACAGGAACAUGUAUAAGUCAUGAAGAAAGCAAUAGCAACAGACUAAACGAUCAAGUGCUAGGCUAACGGAAUGGUCAUGUCAAUCACAUCAUUCUUCUAAUGAUGUGAUCCCUUUAAUCAAAUGACAACACAUGUCUAUGGUUAGGAAACAUAACCAUCUUUGAUUAAUGAGCUAGUCAAGUAGAGGCAUACUGGUGACGUUAUGUUUGUCUAUGUAUUCACACAUGUAUUAUGUUUCCGGUUAAUACAAUUCUAGCAUGAAUAAUAAACAUUUAUCAUGAUAUAAGGAAAUAAAUAAUAACUUUAUUAUUACCUCUAGGGCAUAUUUCCUUCAGUCUCCCACUUGCACUAGAGUCAAUAAUCUAGUUCACAUCAUCAUGUGAUUCAACACCAAUAUUCAUAUCCGUAUGUGAUUAACACCCAUAGUUCACAUCAUCAUGUGACCAACACCCAAAGGGUUUACUAGAGUCAAUAAUCUCGUUCACAUCGCUAUGUGAUUAACACCCAAGAGUACUAAGGUAUGAUCAUGUUUUGCUCGUGAGAGAAGCUUAGUCAACGGGUCUGUCACAUUUAGAGCCGUAUGUAUUUUGUAAAUAUUCUAUGUCUACAAUGCUCUGCAUGGAGCUACUCUAGCUAAUUGCUCCCACUUUCAAUAUGUAUCUAGACCGAGACUUAGAGUCAUCUAGAUUAGUGUCAAAACUUGCAUCGACGCAACCCUUUACGACGAGCCUUUUUGUCACCUCCAUAAUCGAGAAACAUAUCCUUAUUCCCCUAAGGAUAAUUUUGACCGUUGUCAAGUGAUCUACUCCUAGAUCACUAUUGUACUCCCUUGCUAAAAUCAGUGUAGGGUAUACAAUAGAUCUGGUACACAGUAUGGCAUACUUUAUAGAACCUAUGGCUGAGGCAUAGGGAAUGACUUUCAUUCUCUUUCUAUCUUCUGCCGUGGUCGAGCUUUGAGUCUUACUCAAUUUCACACCUUGUAACACAGGCAAGAACUCUUUCUUUGACUGUUCCAUUUUGAACUACUUCAAAACCUUGUCAAGGUAUGUACUCAUUGAAAAACUUAUCAAGCGUCUUGAUCUAUCUCUAUAGAUCUUGAUGCUCAAUAUGUAAGCAGCUUCACCGAGGUCUUUCUUUCAAAAACUCCUUUCAAACACUCCUUUAUGCUUUGCAGAAUAAUUCUACAUUAUUUCCGAUCAACAAUAUGUCAUUCACAUAUACUUAUCAGAAAUGUUGUAGUGCUCCCACUCACUUUCUUGUAAAUAUAGGCUUCACCGUAAGUCUGUAUAAAACUAUAUCCUUUGAUCAACUUAUCAAAGCGUGUAUUCCAACUCUGAGAUGCUUGCACCAGUCCAUAGAUGGAUCGCUGGAUCUUGCAUAUUUUGUUAGCUCCUUUAGGAUUGACAAAACCUUCUGGUUGCAUCAUAUACAACUCUUCUUUAAUAAAUCCAUUAAAGAAUGUAGUUUUGACACCCAUUUUCCAGAUUCCAUAAAAUGUGGCAAUUGCUAACAUGAUUCAGACAGACUUAAGCAUCACUACAGUUGAGAAAAUCUCAUUGUAGUCAACAUCUUGAACUUGUCGAAAACCUUUUUGUGACAAGUCGAGUGAGGGAGUCCCGUACUAGGGGGUGUCCGGAUAACCGAACUAUCAUCGUCGGCCGGACUCCAAGACUACGAAGAUACAAGAUUGAAGACUUCGUCCCGUGUCCGGAGGGGACUUUCCUUGGCAUGGAAGGCAAGCUUGGCGAUACGGAUAUGUAGAUCUCCUACCAUUGUAACCGACUCUGUGUAACCCUAGCCCUCUCCGGUGUCUAUAUAAACCGGAUGGCUUUAGUCCAUAGGACGAACAACAAUCAUGCCAUAGGCUAGCUUCUAGGGUUUAGCCUCCUUGAUCUCGUGGUAGAUCUACUCUUGUAACACACAUCAUCAAUAUUAAUCAAGUAGGACGUAGGGUUUUACCUCCAUCAAGAGGGCCCGAACUUGGGUAAAACAUCGUGUCCCUCGUCUCCUGUUACCAUCCGCCUAGACGCACAGUUCGGGACCCCCUACCCGAGAUCCACCGGUUUUGACACCGACAUCGGGCUUUGUAGAUAGUAACACUACUAUCAGUGUCCGUCUUCCUCUUGAAGAUCCAUUUAUUUAACAUGGCUUGCUGAUCAUUGAGCAAGUCAAUCAAAGUCCAUACUUUGUUCUCAUACUUGGAUCCUAUCUCAGAUUUCAUGGCCUCAAGCCAUUUCGCGGAAUCUGGGCUCAUCAUUGCUUCCUCAUAGUUUGUAGGUUCAUCAUGGUCUAGUAACAUGACUUCCAGAACAUGAUUACUGUACCACUCUGGUUCGGAUCUUACUCUGGAAGACCUACGAGGUUUGGUAGCAACUUGAUCUGAAGUUUCAUGAUCAUCAUCAUUAACUUCCUCACUAAUUGGUGUAGGAAUCACUGGAACUGAUUUCUGUGAUGAACUACUUUCCAAUAAGGGAGAAGGUACAAUUACCUCAUCAAUUUCUACUUUCCUCCCACUCACUUCUUUCGAGAGAAACUUCUUCUCUAGAAAGGAUCCAUUUUAGCAACGAAUAACUUGCCUUCAGAUCUGUGAUAGAAGGUGUACCCAAUAGUUACCUUUGGGUAUUCUAUGAAGACGCACUUCUCCAAUUUGGGUUCGAGCUUAUCAGGUUGAAACUUUUUCACAUAAGCAUCGCUUUCCCGAACUUUAAGAAACGACAACUUUGGUUUCUUGCCAAACCACAGUUCAUAAGGCGUCGUCGCAGCGGAUUUUGAUGGUGCCCUAUUUAAAGUGAAUGCAAUUGUCUCUAAUGCAUAACCCCAAAACAAUAGUGGUAAACUGAUAAGAGACAUCAUAGAUCGCACCAUAUCCAAUAAAGUGCGGUUACGACGUUCGGACACACUAUAACGCUGUGGUGUUCCAUGUGGCGUGAGCUGUGAAACUAUUCCACAUUGUUUUAUAUGAAGGCCAAACUCGUAACUCAAAUAUUCUUCUCCACGAUCAGAUCGUAGAAACUUUAUUUUCUUGUUACGAUGAUUCUCCACUUCACUCUGAAAUUCUUUGAACUUUCAAAUGUUUCAGACUUGUGUUUUAUUAAGUAGAUAUACUCAUAUCUGCUCAAAUCAUCUUGUGAAGGUCAGAAAAUAAUGAUACCCGCCACGAGCACCAAUACUCAUUGGAUCGCAUACAUCGGUAUGUAUUAUUUCCAACAAGUCAGCAGCUCGUUCCAUUGUUCUGAAGAACGGAGUUUUAGUCAUCUUGCCCAUAAGGCACAGUUCACAAGUAUCAAAUGAUUCAUAACCAAGUGAUUCCAAAAAUCCAUCUUUAUGGAGUUUCUUCAUGCGCUUUACACCGAUAUGACCCAAACGGCAGUGCCACAAAUAACUUGCACUAUCAUUAUUAACUUUGCAUCUUUUGGCAUCAAUAUUAUGAAUAUGUGUAUCACUACGAUUGAGAUCCAAUAAACUAUUUUCAUUGGGUGUAUGACCAUUGAAGGUUUUAUUCAUGUAAAUAGAACAACAAUUAUUCUCUGACUUUAAAUGAAUAACCGUAUUGCAAUAAACAUGAUCAAAUCAUAUUCAUGCUCAUCGCAAACGCCAAAUAACAUUUAUUUAGGUUCUACACAAAUCUCGAAAGUGUAGGGAGAGUGUGAUGAUGAUCAUAUCAAUCUUGGAACUACUUCCAACACACAUCGUCACUUCACCCUCAACUAGUCUCUGUUUAUUCUGUAACUCCUGUUUCGAGUUACUAAUAUUUAGCAACCGAACAAGUAUCAAAUACUCAGGGGCUACUAUAAACACUAGUAAAGUACACAUCAAUAACAUGUAUAUCAAAUAUACCCUUGUUCACUUUGCCAUCCUUCUUAUCCACCAAAUAUUCAGGGCAUCUCCGCUUCUAGUGACCAUUUCCUUUGCAGUAUAAUCACUCAGUUUCAGGCUUUGGUCCAGCUUUGGGCUUCUUUGCGGGAGUGACAACUUGCUUGCCAUUCUGCUUGAAGUUCCCUUUCUUUCCUUUUUCUUGAAACUAGUGGUCUUGUAUAUCAACACUUGAUGCUCUUUCUUGAUUUCUACCUUCGUCGAUUUCAGCAUCACGAAGAGCUCGAGAAUCAUUUUUGUCAUCCCUUGCAUUAUAGUUCAUCACGAAGUUCUAGUAACUUAGUGAUGGUGACAAGAGAAUUCUGUCAAUCACUAUCUUAUCUGGAAGAUUAACUCCCACUUGAUUCAAGCGAUUGAAGUACCCAGACAAUCUGAGCGCAUGCUCACUAGUUGAGCGAUUCUCCUCCAUCUUUUAGCUAUAGAACUUGUUGGAGACUUCAUAUCUCUCAACUCGAGUAUUUGCUGGAAAUAUUAACUUCAACUCCUGGAACAUCUCAUAUGGUCCAUGGCGUUCAAAACGUCUUUGAAGUCCCGAUUCUAAGCUGUUAAGCAUGGUGCACUACACUAUCGAGUAGUCAUCAUAUUGAGCUAGCCAAACGUUCAUAAUGUCUGCAUCUGCUCCUGCAAUAGGUCUGUCACCUAGUGGUGCAUUAAGGACAUAAUUCUUCUGUGCAGCAAUGAGGAUAAACCUCAGAUCACGGAUCCAAUCCGCAUCAUUGCUACUAACAUCUUUCAACACAAUUUUCUCUAGGAACAUAUCAAAAUAAACAUACGAAAGCAACAACGCAAGCUAUUGAUCUACAACAUAAUUUGCAAAAUACUACCAGGACUAAGUUCAUGAUAAAUUUAAGUUCAAUUAAUCAUAUUACUUAAGAACUCCCACUUAGAUAGACAUCCCUCUAAUCCUCUAAGUGAUUACAUGAUCCAUAUCAACUAAACCAUGUCCGAUCAUCACAUGAGAUGGAGUAGUUUCAAUGGUGAACAUCACUAUGUUGAUCAUAUCUACUAUAUGAUUCACGCUCGACCUUUCGGUCUCCGUGUUCCGAGGCCAUAUCUGUUAUAUGCUAGGCUCGUCAAGUUUAACCUGAGUAUUCCGCGUGUGCAACUGUUUUGCACCCGUUGUAUUUGAACGUAGAGCCUAUCACACCCGAUCAUCACGUGGUGUCUCAGCAUGAAGAACUUUCGCAAUGGUGCAUACUCAGGGAGAACACUUCUUGAUAAUUAGUGAGAGAUCAUCUUAAAAUGCUACCGUCAAUCAAAGCAAGAUAAGAUGCAUAAAGGAUAAACAUCACAUGCAAUCAAUAUAAGUGAUAUGAUAUGGCCAUCAUCAUCUUGUGCUUGUGAUCUCCAUCUCCGAAGCACCGUCGUGAUCACCAUCGUCACCGGUGCGACACCUUGAUCUCCAUCGUAGCACCGUUGUCGUUACGACAUCUAUUGCUUCUACGACUAUCGCUACCGCUUAGUGAUAAAGUAAAGCAUUACAGGGCGAUUGCAUUGCAUACAAUAAAGCGACAACCAUAUGGCUCCUGCCAGUUGCCGAUAACUUGGUUACAAAACAUGAUCAUCUCAUAAAAUAAAAUAUAGCAUCACGUCUUGACCAUAUCACAUCACAACAUGCCCUGCAAAAACAAGUUAGACGUCCUCUGCUUUGUUGUUGCAAGUUUUACGUGGCUGCUACAGGCUUAGCAAGAACCGUUCUUACCUACGCAUAAAAACCACAACGAUAGUUCGUCAAGUUAGUGCUGUUUUAACCUUCACAAGGACCAGGCGUAGCCACACUUGGUUCAACUAAAGUUGGAGAAACUGACACCCGCCAGCCACCUGUGUGCAAAGCACGUCGGUAGAACCAGUCUCGCGUAAGCGUACGCGUAAUGUCGGUCCGGGCCGCUUCAUCCAACAAUACCGUCGAACCAAAGUAUGACAUGCUGGUAAGCAGUAUGACUUGUAUCACCCACAACUCACUUGUGUUCUACUCGGUGCAUAUAACAUCUACGCAUAAAACCAGGCUCGGAUGCCACUGUUGGGGAACGUAGUAAUUUCAAAAAAUUCCUACGCACACGCAAGAUCAUGGUGAUGCAUAGCAACGAGAGGGGAGAGUGUGUCCACGUACCCUCGUAGACCGAAAGCGGAAGCGUUAGCACAACGCGGUUGAUGUAGUCGUACGUCUUCAUGGCCUGACCGAUCAAGCACCGAAACUACGGCACCUCCGAGUUCUAGCACACGUUCAGCUUGAUGACGUCCCUCGAACUCCGAUCCAGCCAAGUGUCGAGGGAGAGUUCUGUCAGCACGACGGCGUGGUGACGAUCUUGAUGUUCUACCGUCGCAGGGCUUCACCUAAGCACCGCUACGAUAUUAUCGAGGUGGACUAUGGUGGAGGGGGGCACCGCACACGGCUAAGAGAUCCAAGGGAUCAAUUAUUGUUGUGUCUUUGGGGUGCCCCCUGCCCCCGUAUAUAAAGGAGCAAGGGAGGAGGAGGCCGGCCCUAGGAGGGGGCGCGCCAAGGGGAGUCCUACUCCCACCGGGAGUAGGACUCCCUCCUUCCUUGUUGGAGUAGGAGAAGGGGAAAGAGGGGAAGAUGAAGAAGGAAAAGGGGGCUGCGCCCCUUGUCCAAUUCGGACCAGACGGGGGGCGCAGGCCUCCUUCCUUUUGGCCUCUCUCCUCUAUUCCCGUAUGGCCCAAUAAGGCCCAUAUACUCCCCGGCGAAUUCCCGUAACUCUCUGGUACUCCGAAAAAUACCCGAAUCACUCAGAACCUUUCCGAAGUCCGAAUAUAGUCGUCCAAUAUAUCGAUCUUUACGUCUCGACCAUUUAGAGACUCCUCGUCAUGUCCCCGAUCUCAUCCGGACUCCGAACUCCUUCGGUACAUCAAAACUCGUAAUAUAACUGUCAUCGAAACCUUAAGCGUGCGGACCCUACGGGUUCGAGAACUAUGUAGACAUGACCGAGACACGUCUCCGGUCAAUAACCAAUAGCGGAACCUGGAUGCUCAUAUUGGCUCCCACAUAUUCUACGAAGAUCUUUAUCGGUCAAACCGCAUAACAACAUACGUUGUUUCCUUUGUCAUCGGUAUGUUACUUGUUCGAGAUUCGGUCGUCGGUAUCCAAUACCUAGUUCAAUCUCAUUACUGGCAAGUCUCUUUACUCGUUACGUAAUGCAUCAUUCUGUAACUAACUCAUUAGCUACAUUGCUUGCAAGGCUUAUAGUGAUGUGCAUUACCGAGAGGGCCCAGAGAUACCUCUCCGACAAUCGGAGUGACAAAUCUUAAUCUCAAAAUAGGCCAACCCAACAUGUACCUUCAGAGACACCUGUAGAGCUCCUUUAUAAUCACCCAGUUACGUUGUGACGUUUGGUAGCAUACAAAGUGUUCCUCCGGUAAAUGGGAGUUGCAUAAUCUCCUAGUUACAGGAACAUGUAUAAGUCAUGAAGAAAGCAAUAGCAACAUACUAAACGAUCAAGUGCUAGGCUAACGGAAUGGGUCAUGUCAAUCACAUCAUUCUCCUAAUGAUGUGAUCCCUUUAAUCAAAUGACAACACAUGUCUAUGGUUAGGAAACAUAACCAUCUUUGAUUAAUGAGCUAGUCAAGUAGAGGCAUACUAGUGACGUUAUGUUUGUCUAUGUAUUCACACAUGUAUUAUGUUUCCGGUUAAUACAAUUCUAGCAUGAAUAAUAAACAUUUACCAUGAUAAAAGGAAAUAAAUAAUAACUUUAUUAUUACCUCUAGGGCAUAUUUCCUUCAACUAUAACAUGAGAAGUUUAUAAGAAAGAAUUGCUAUUUGAUGCUAGGAAAAGUGAUUAAAUUUAUCAUUGAUCAAACUUAUGUACUUUGCUAGCAUUCACUCUUCAUAAAUUAUUUCUUUUAUCAUUUACUGACUCGAGGACAAGUAGGAAUUAAGCUUGGGGAUGCUGAUAUGUCUCCAACGUAUCUAUAAUUUAUGAAUUAUUCAUGCUGUUAUUUUAUCAUUCUUGGAUGUUUUACGAUCAUUUUAUAGCAAAUUUAUAUCAUUUUCUGGGACUAACCUAUUGACCCAGUGCCCAAUGCCAGUUGUUGUUUUUUGCUUGUUUUUACAUCGCAUGAAAUCAAUACCAAAUGGAGUCCAAACGCAACGAAACUCCACGGAGAUUUUUUUAUGUACUAGAAGGAAUCCAAUGUGCCAGAGCUGCACCUGGGGGGUGCCCCGAGGGGGGCACAACCCACCAGGGUGCGCCAGGGCCCCCUAGCGUGCCGAGGUGGGUUGUGCGCACCUCGGUGGCCUCCUGCACCCCCUCUUUACCCUAUAAAUUCCCAAAAAUUCCAAAAACCCUCGGGGUUAACCUAGAACAGAAUUCCUGCCGCUGCAGGGCUCCGUAGCCACCGAAAACCAAUCUAGACCCGUUCUGGCACCUUGCCGAAGGGGGGAAUCAUCUCCAGUGGCCAUCUUCAUCAUCCCAGCGGCCACCACGAUGAGGAGGGAGUAGUCCACCCUCGGGGAUGAGGGUUUGUACCAGUAGCUAUGUGUUUAAUCUCUCUCUCUCUCUCUCUCUCUCUCGUGUUCUUGAGAUGUCACGGUCUUGAUGUAUCGCGGGCUUUGUUAAUAUAGUCGGGUCAUAUGGUGUUUUCCCCUCUCUAUAUUGUUGUGAUGAAUUGAGUAUUUCCCUUUGAGAUUUCGUUUUUAUCGGAUUGGAUACUUUGAUGGAUUUGAGAACACUUGAUAUAUGCCUUGAAAUUGAAUACUCGUGGUGACAAUGGGGUAUCAUAUUGAUUCACAUGAUAUAUGUUCUUUCACUCAACUCGUGGAUUCUCGAGGUGACAUUGGGGUAAUCUAUGCAUAGGAGUUGAUGCACGUUCUUGUCUUUGUUUCCCCGGUAGAAAUCUUGGGGCACUCUUUGAAGUUCUUUAUGUUGGAUUGAGUAUUACGAAUAUGGAUUUGCUUUGGUGUUAUUUUAGUACGAACUCUAGGAUAGAUCGAACGGAAAGAAUAGCUUUGUGUUAUUUUACUACGAACUCUUGAAUAGAUCGAACGGAAAGAAUAGCUUUGAGGUGGUUCCGUACCCUACAAACAAUUUAUUCUUAUGUUCUCCGCUAGAUAGGAACUUUGGAGUGACUCUCCAUCGCACUUUGAGGGGUGUUUAUAUGAUCCAAUUAUAUUAGCAUUGUUGAGAGAUUGCACUAGCGAAAGUACGGACCCUAGGCCUCAUUUUCAAGCAUUGCAAUGCCAUUUUUGUGCCCGUUUACUAUUUGCUACCUUGCUGUUUUUAUUUCUUCGGAUUACAAAAAUAUAUUUCUACCAUCCAUAUUACACUUUUAUCACCAUCUCUUCGCCGAACUAGUGCACCUAUACAAUUUGCCAUUGUAUUGGGUGUGUUGGGGACACAAGAGAUUUCCUGUAUUUGGUUGCAGGGUCAUUUGAGAGAGACCAUCUUCAUCCUACACCUCUCAGGGAUUGAUAAAGCUUAGGUUAUCCACUUGAGGGAAAAUUACUACUGUCCUACAAAACUCUGUGCUUGGAGGCCCAACACGUGUCUACAAGAAUAAAGUUGCGUAGUAGACAUCUAGUUACUAGCCGAAGCCUUUGCGGCUGAAGAACUAACCACCCUACGAUCCACAAUGGACAAGGAUGAUGUGAUUCUCGACAAGACAUAUAAAUGCACCUCUUUCAAGCCAGCAGAUGAAAUAGUUAAAUUCCAAGUGCACCCGGCGGAUCCUAAUAAAACAGCGUCCAUCAGAGCACAGCUGGAUCCGACGGCAGACGCCGCCUUAUGUGUGUUCCUACGUGAAAAUCGGGAUAUCUUUGGCUGGCACCCCUUAGACAUGCCCGGGAUCCCACACAGACUGGCCGAACACAGCCUCAACAUAAUCAAAGGGUUCAAACCAGUCAAGCAAACGCUACGGCGAUUUUCCGAACCCAAACGACAAGCUAUGGUGGAGGAGCUAGCCAAACUGCUCGAGGACGGGUUUAUCAGAGAAAUCAAACACCCGGAUUGGUUAGCCAACUUGGUCAUGGUGCCGAAGAAGGAUCAAUCUUGGCGCCUUUGUGUCGAUUUCAAAGACCUCAAUAAGGCUUGCCCUAAAGCCCCUUUCCCAUUACCUCGCAUUGACCAGAUCAUUGACGCGACCGUGGGACACGACUCAUUGUGUUUCCUCGACGCUUACUUCGGAUACCAUCAGAUUAAAAUGUAAGAGUCUGAUCAGGCCGCAAUGGCGUUCAUCACCCCAUAUGGGCCUUUCUAUUUCAACACUAUGCCUUUUGGGCUUAAAAACGCUGAUGCCACUUACCAACACAUGAUUCAAACAUGCUUGGAAAAUAAAAUCGGCAAGAAAGUUGAAGAAUAUGUGGAUGACGUGGUCAUGAAGACUAAACACGUCGAAUCACUGGUGGACGAUCUCCGCCUCACAUUUGACAACCUCCAAACAUACGAAUCAAUCCGGAAAAAUGCGUCUUCGGUGUACCAGCCGGAAAGCUAUUAGGGUUCAUUGUCUCCCAUAGAGGAAUUGAAGCAAACGGAGCUAAAAUCCGAGACUUUCCGCAAUUGGCCACACCAACAGACUUAAAGCAGGUCCAAAAGCUAGCAGGGUGCGUGGCGGCUUUGAGCCGCUUCAGUUCCAGAUUAGGAGAAAAAGCAUUACCACUUUAUAGACUGCUUAGACGCACCGACAACUUUGAAUGAACGGAUGCGGCCACAACCAGAUUGUAGGAAAUAAAAACCUUAUUAGCAGGCAACCCAAUCCUAGCCGCCCCAAGUGUUGGCGAGCCUAUGUUGCUUUAUAUCUCCUCAACUCAACAUGUAAUGAGCGAUGUACUCGUCGUCGAGCAAGGGGAAGAGGGACUUCACCAUCCAAAAGCCAGUGUAUUACGUAUCAGAGGUCCUUACACCAUGCAAAUCCCGAUACCCUCACUACCAGAAGAUAGCUUACGUGGUCUUUAUGGCAUCCCGAAAACUCCGACACUAUUUUCAAGAGUGUUCGAUCACGGUGGCAUCCGAAGUACCACUUAACGACAUUAUAAACAACAGGGAGGCCACCGGCCGCAUAGCUAAAUGGGUAACUGAGCUCUUACCAUUUGAAAUAACAUACAAGCCACGCCGAGCUAUUAAAUCUCAGGUGCUGGCCGACUUCGUUGCCGAGUGGAUGGAAGCCGAUCUCCCUAAAGAGUACAGUUCAUACUCCAACUGCAUGUACUUCGACGACUCUAAAAUGCUAGCCGGACUGGGGGCUGGUGUCAUCUUGACAUCCCCUACGGGGGACACGGUCCGCUACAUGUUGCAAAUCAUGUAUACGGACUCCAAUAAUGCAGCUGAAUACGAGGCACUUCUACAUGGUCUCCGCAUGGCUUUCUCCAUGGGCAUACAAUGCCUCGAGGUGCGUGGUGACUCAAUCCUUGCAAUAUCUCAGAUAAAUGGAGAUUUUGAUGCAAAAGAUCCAAAAAUGGCGGCAUAUCGAAAUGUCGUAUUAAAAAUAUCGGCUAGGUUCGAGGGACUUGAAUUUCAUCACUUCGCUCGAGACAGUAACCAGGCAACGGACAUACUCGCUUGCACGGGCGCCAAGUGCGACCCUGUCCCGCCUAAUACCUUUAUGGAAAGGCUCUUCAGGCCAUCCUUGGUAUGGCAGGAUGGGAGCGGAGACGCCAGUACGGACCUGAUCAUGCCCCCGGCAGCCGAACAUAAUACAGAUAUCAUCGGGGGUCCGGAUACCGAAAUAACACCCUCUGAUCAUGAGAUCAUGGCCAUUAUUGGUCCUUGGACCGAACCCUUCCUGGCCUACCUUAAUAGGCAGGAGCUUCCCGAUGAUCAAAAUGAGGCCCGUCGCAUAGUUUGGCGUUCUAAAGCCUACAAAGUUCAUGAAGGUGAACUGUACAAGAAAAGCACUAUCGGAGUUCUCCAAAUGUGCAUCUCCAAAGAGGAGGGAAGACAACUCCUGGCUGAAAUACAUGCUGGUCUGGGCGGCCAUCAUGCCGCAGCUCGGGCCCUCGUAAGCAAAGCCUUCCGGACAGGUUUUUUCUUGCCAAUGGCCCAAGCAGUCGCACAGGCCCUUGUCCAACGUUGUGUGGGAUGUCAGCUUUUCGCCAAUCAAAGUCAUAUGCCUCCCACUGCCUUAAGAACAAUCCCCAUCACUUGGCCCUUCGCGGUCUGGGGGCUGGAUAUGGUCGGACCCUUUAAAGGGGGAAUCCACAAAAAGAAAUAUUUACUGGUUAUGGUGGAUAAAUUCACUAAGUGGAUAGAGGCCAAACCAAUAAAAACGGCCGAAGCAGGACCAGUGGUUGACUUUAUAUCCGGCGUGGUACACCGCUAUGGUGUCCUGCACAGCAUCAUCACUGAUAAUGGCUCCAAUUUUACAUUUGAUGAGGUGAAAAACUGGUGUGCUAACUUGCACAUUAAACUCGACUAUGCAUCCGACUACCACCCUCAAACAAACAGUCAGAUUGAACGGGCCAAUGGCCUGAUAAUGAGCGGCAUUAAACCCCGACUAGUGCACUCCCUAUGGGAGUCGGAUAAGCAAUGGGUUGAGGAAUUCGAUUCCGUGCUCUGGGGGCUGCGGACUACACCUAACCGAACAACCGGAUAUACACAUUUCUUCAUGGUGUACGGCAUGGACGCUGUCCUGCCCUGCGACAUUAUUCAUGACUCACCUCGAGUGCGCAUGUACGAAGAGCGAGAAGCCGAGCUUGAUCGACAGGACGACCUAGAUGGCCUCGAAGAGGAGUGCGAUAUUGCACAAGCCCGUCCCGCAUUUUAUCAACAACAGGCCAGGCGAUACCAAAGCAGAGAAGUGCGGGCCAAGACAUAUAACAUUGGCGACCUCAUCUUGCGUCUCCUAGAGAAGAAGAAGGAUAAGCUCAAACCAAGAUGGGAGGGCCCCUUCAUCAUAGAUGAAGUUCUCAUGGGAGGAGCCUAUCGCCUUUGUAAUGCAUCGGAUAAUCACCUUGAGCCGAAUCCAUGGAACGCUGCUCGGCUCCAGCGAUUCUACAGAUAGUUCGGUAGCACCUUUUUAGUUUGACUAGGUUCCUUUUUCUCCUCUCUUUUUUUACUUUUUCCUUUUUAUAUCCAAGGGUAUGUUCGGAUCUACUUAACUGUUAGGGGUACACAUCUUUAAAUCUAUACACCCCGCUAUAAUUGGGGCCUUCUUUGAUGAAGCUUAUUAUUAAAAGCUUGUGGCUUACAUUGUUUACGUCAUUUGUUCUAUACACUUUUUUGCCAUUAUAUGCACCUCUAUGACUUAAGUUUUUGCCAAGCUUGGUUGCCUUGCUCCUGUCUUUAUACCCUACGCUCCCUAUUGUUCGGCUAGGGUGUAAAGGGAGCACCUCAGCAAUUGUUACAACCGGGUAAUCCGGAUCUGUACCUCAGAUGGGUGAAGCCAAAAGCUAGCGCUCUUAAGGGAAUAAUUGGUCGGCAAGCAACGACAGAUUAUUUACGUUUAUGUAAUUCUUCUUACAAAUAAGGGAUAGGCUACCCGUAGUUCUAUCUUUUCGAUCAAAGCCUGGGCAUGCAUAAUUAGGCAUGCCGACCCAAGGAAAGGAACCUUAACGGAACUAUUUUCCCUGGAAGAUGUUUUUUACGUUAAAUAGUAAUAUAAUAUAACUCCCCGAACAAAUUUUGUCUGUUUGAGCAAUAUGACCGGAUUGGCUGGUUUCCGGACAUAAUGAAUGUUUAUUACAUUCCAACAUGGUCUCCGGAAACACUCCAACUUCUUGGUUCGCAGGUUGAAGCCAAAGGCCUGCGAUGACAAAUUUUGACAAGUUUGGUUGGAGAUAAGUUUGAUGAUAAAGUACAUUGAUACAUUGAAUCGAACGCCUACUCUUUAUCUAUGUCAUCUAUAAGACUGUUUAAGCUAUAGUCUUCUUGCAAAUAUUUUGCGGCAAUCAUCACUUGGUCAUAUACCAAGUUCACGAGAAUCUUUUUUCCGUCCGGUCCCUGAGGUCCAACUCGGGCCAUACGAUUCGGAUCGAACCCGGUGUAGCGCGUUUUCACCAUCGCCCAUGCCUCUCGUGCACCUUCCUGGCAUGUUGACGCCUUCCAUAGCUCCAAACGGCGUCGGGCACCUUUGAACAGGUUCGCCAACCCCUCCAUGCUUUCUGGAGGGACAUCGGAUGGCCAUAAGGCUUUGGCCAUACUUCUCAUGGCUUUCCAGGCCCGCUCAUGCACUACGGACAGCUCUUUUAGAAUGUCGCCUCAGAAUCUGGAUACUUCUCAUGACGCCCGAUCAACAGACCUGCAAGAACAACAUUAUAACACUCCAAAUUAUGGGAUAAUAUUAGUCCCUUGGAUGGUUCAAAUGUCAUACCGAAUAUGCCACCUUUCAACUUUUUAUUCUCUUUUUGUGUGUUUGACAAUUGAGCCUUUAAGCUCUUUAUCUCUUCGGCUUGCUUAUCCUUUUCCUCCUCCAGUUUGUUCUUUUGAUCAAUGGUCAUUGUGAUCUUCUUCAUUUCCUCUAGCUCUGUGGUGGCGGCAUUUAGCUUUGUCCAUCUCGUUUCAAGCUCCUGGGACAGUGCGUUGUUCUUCUCUUUGAGAACCUGCGGUCAUAAUGAUCCUUAAAUCGGUUGGUCUAAACCGCUUCAAGUCUCGGGGGAUACUGGCAUAUAUCUAUUAAAUUUACACAAAACAUUACAUGCAUAUCUUUUGGAAACAGGUGAGCAACUCCAGCAAGUCUAUCCUGGGUAGCUCGGAUAUAUGCAUCCACAGUGCUGAGGGCAGUAAAUUCCUGCUCGGUAAAAACUAGAGCACGCAUGGUCUCUUUCAGUCGUGGGUGGCUCAUCACGCUCUCCACUUCGGAAUUUGUGACGGAUAUGUCAUUCGAGUCCUCAUGAGGUGGAUGAGUUGGCGCUGCAUCCGUAUUGGCUCUUGUCUUGGUUGAUGAGCCCGGUGCCGGAUUGGCUGAUGAUCGGCUAGCUGGGACUUUACACACGGUUCACCGUGUGCUCCUCCGGAAAUAAGAUGGGAGGAGAAGUAUGACAAUUUGGUCUUAUGCCUAGGCACAUGUUAAAAGUUGUAGCUCUUUGAUGAAGGAGGGGGCCCGACGGCGCUCCUGGUUUCAUUUCGUUUUGAAGGCUCACCCUCCGUAGAUGCUACUCUCCUAGAGGCCCCCUCGAUGGAGUGUAGCUCGUUGAGCACCGAUCCUAUGAAGCACGAUUCAAUGUCAUGGGUGAGACACAAGUGGGUGGCUCCUUUUUUGUGGCUCCUUUUUUGAGGAUGAUUUCCGAGUACUUACCUUGGAGAAAGGGAAAAUGCCGGGGUAGUCGGCCGUAAUAGCCACUUCCGAGCCAUCAAGCCUUGCUUGAUAAAAGACUCCAUCAUCAAACUCUAUAAAUAUAUACGGAUCCUCGCGAAAUCUAGGGUCCUCGUUGCGAGCAUAGUCCUCUGGUUGUGGGGAGGGACAAUGAAUAUUUUCGACCACCUUCCUCCAUGUCUAUUUCAAGAUGACAAGAACAAUUUGAUGAGCACACCUCAAUAAUGAGGUAGGACAAUGUUGAUAAACAAAAACUUACCCAUUCAAUGGGGUUAUACAUGGAGAAACCUUCCCGACAAUUUAAACGGAUGAAUUCUUCUUUCUCCCCUUAUAAAGAUCUACAAGAAUGGCCGCCAGAGCGGCUGGGGUAUCCGGGCCCUCAUGCUUAUAACGAGAUGCGUCAUCCUUUCCAUUGUAACACCAUAAAGGGGUCACUCUAGACUGAAGGGGCUGGAUACAUCGCUUUAUCGCGAUGGCCAUGACUACGAUUAUCAAGAGUUCGGAAUGGGAGAGUAACCUGACCUUGCUAACUAACCUAUUUACUUCCGCACUAUCUUCUUGCUUGGGGCUCCGGGGCCGCCAAUUGAAAUGUUUCCUCUGAUCCCUUCUUGGGAGUUCCGACUGGGUCCGGAAGGGUCGAACUGGGUCCGGAAGGGGAACGUCCUCAACAUAAAACCAUUCUGAAGUCCAUUCUUCUGAUCCCUUCUUGGGAGUUCCGACGAGGUAACCUGAUCCGGCUAUGCACCAUACUUCGGUGCUGCCCACUUCAAAUAUAGAACCCCCUUGAUGACAAGGGACGAGGCAAAAGAAAUUUCUCCACAGUUUAAAAUGAGCCUCGCAGCCUAAAACUGUUCGCAGAGAGCGACAAAACCUGAUAUGUGCAGAAUAGAACCUGGUGUGAGGUUGUGCAGUUGGAUCCUAUAGAAUUCCAAUAGACCUUUGAGGAAUGGGUGGAUCGUGAAUCCUAAGCCCCUCAAAGUAAACGAGAUGGAGCACACCCUCUCCUCCUUGUUGGGGUUGGGAAAAUUCUAUGCUAGUACAUCAUUGCCAAUCGAGGCCAAUCCUACCUGCAUGAGGACUAGAUCUGUGGGAGGGAGACAUCCCUGCGUUUGAAGUCGAUUCAGUUGGAGGUGACACACUGAGCAGCUUCGCCAAUCACCCGCUUGAGGGACAUUAGGCGCGAGGAAGAGCUAGGAGCGCUCACCAUGUUUUGAAGUUUUUUCCUGGUUUGCUCUUAUGCUCCUUGCGCAAUAUGGGAUGGCAUUUGGGGAUCUAACCCCCUUAUGUAAAUGCCGCCCUUGCAUGGUAAGGGGCUUAUUUGUAAAAAAAUAUGGACCAUUCGCAUUCGCCUGGCGCGUGGAAAUCGAGGCGAUGACAAGUAGGAAUGUAAAGGCAGAACAUGAAGUUCAAAGCCGGACUGUCGUCAAUCCGGAAUAUGGUGAGGAACCUGCCUUGCAAAGCUAGAUACUACCUCGCCAUUGAAGGCAAGUUCGGGGGCUACUGAGGGAGUCCUGGAUUCGAGGGUCCUCAGGUGUCCGGCCUAUUCGAUAUGGGCCGGGCUGAUGGGUCGUGAAGACGAAGGAGAAGACCGCCUCCCGCGUCCAGGUAGGACUCCUAUGUGCGUAGAACGACAAGUUUGGUGUCUGGGUGUAAUUCUCUUUGCCUCAGAACCAACUUUGUAUAACCCUAGGUCUCUCUGGUGUGUAUAUAAACCGGAGGGGUUAGUCCACACAGGGCAUCAGAAUAAUCAUAGGCUAGACAGCUAGGGUUUGGCCAUUACGAUCUCGAGGUAGAUCAACUCUCGUAACCCCUAUACUCAUCGAAUACAAUCAAGAAGGACAUAGGGUUUUACCUCCUUCGAGAGGGCCCGAACCUGGGUGAACACCGUGUCUCAUUGUACCUUGUUACCAUUGAUCCUUAGACUCACAGCUUGGGCCACCCUACCCGAGAACUGCCGGUUUUGACACUAACAGGUAUCCCUAGCCCACCAGGGUUCAAGUCAUGAUACUCGCAUUUGUCAUGGAUUUAUUUCAGGAUUUCCGGUGAUCUCCAGGUCAUUCCGUGCUCGACCCUGCACAGAUUGCACAUGCUCGUCAGAUAGUACAACACCAUAGGAUCCACAUCGCGGUUUCCCAGCAUUCCAAUUCUAUGGUUUCGUCGAUUUUUCCUACUUUAUGUGGGAUCAAGAAAUAGCAUGUACAGGGGCCUUCGCACCCAACACACACAGUAGUAUAGCAUGUUCUUUCACAUGUUUACCAUUAAUCGUUUGGUUCGAUUGAUCACAAGCCCAUGUUGCUGAACAGCAAAGCGACUAAACACGCAACAAAUCACCAAACUCCAAUUUAUUAUUAUACACCAAAUGUGCACACAAGUUUAACCGAAGAACGAUACUAAAAACUCAACCGUCUGAUAGGUGGAUCAUCAAAGGAGAAUCAACGCAUCCAGAAGUAAGGCCAACAUAGGAGAGGUGCACCAUGCGAGAGACAUAGCCAGUCGAGGAAAUUCAGCAAGUGAUCCUCAGAAGAACACCCGGACAACGCCACCCCCACGCUGCAUGGUAGGCUUCACAUGCCACCUACUCCAUGACUUUUGCUCCUAGCGUCAACACCCUUUGAUUUCCCUCCUUUUAU
rnacentral:lncRNA from 1 species